GAUUGAAUUAGAAUUACCUGGAAAGGUAAACCACAGAGGGUGAUAGUCCCGUAUAAGUAAGAGAAGAUAAGAAUAGUGGUAUCCUGAGUAGGUCGGGGCACGUGAAACCCUGAUUGAAUCAAGCGGGACCAUCCGCUAAGGCUAAAUACUCCUGAGAGACCGAUAGUGAACCAGUACCGUGAGGGAAAGGUGAAAAGAACCGUGAAUAACGGAGUGAAAAAGAACCUGAAACCAUACGCUUACAAGCGGUCGGAGCCCUUAAGUGGGGUGACGGCGUGCCUUUUGCAUAAUGAGCCUACGAGUUACCGUUGCUGGCAAGGAUAAGGACUUCAGGUCUGGAUCCGUAGCGAAAGCGAGUCUUAAUAGGGCGCUUUAGUCAGUAGUGGUAGACGCGAAACCGUGUGAUCUACCCAUGGGCAGGUUGAAGUUUAGGUAACACUAAAUGGAGGACCGAACCGUUUAACGCUGAAAAGUUUUCGGAUGACCUGUGGGUAGGGGUGAAAGGCCAAUCAAACUCGGAAAUAGCUCGUACUCCCCGAAAUGCAUUUAGGUGCAGCGAUAUAUCAGUUACUUAGAGGUAGAGCUACUGAUUGGAUGCGGGGGCUUCACCGCCUACCAAUUCCUGACAAACUCCGAAUGCUAAGUAAUGAUUUAUAUCAGUGAGGGCAUGGGUGCUAAGGUCCAUGUCCGAGAGGGAAAGAACCCAGACCAUCAGCUAAGGUCCCCAAAUGUAUACUAAGUUGAAAAAACGCGGUUUGAUUGCCCAGACAGCUAGGAUGUUGGCUUGGAAGCAGCCAUUCAUUUAAAGAGUGCGUAACAGCUCACUAGUCGAGCGAUCGAGCAUGGAUAAUAAUCGGGCAUAAGUAUACUACCGAAGCUAUGGAUUUACGUUUAAAACGUGAGUGGUAGGGGAGCAUUCUAAUAGGGUUGAAGGUGAUUUGUGAGAAUUGCUGGACUAAUUAGAAAAGAAAAUGUAGGCAUAAGUAACGAUAAGGGGUGCGAGAAACACCCCCGCCGUAAGACUAAGGAUUCCUCAGCUAUGCUAAUCAGCUGAGGGUUAGUCGGGACCUAAGGCACACCCGAAGGGGGACGUCGAUGGCCAACGGGUUAAUAUUCCCGUACUACUUAUAAUUGUGAUGGAGUGACACAGUGAUGAAAGCACCGCCAGCUGACGGAAUAGCUGGUUGAAGCACGUACCUAUAGGUUUGAUAGUAAAAUGCGUCAGACUUGGAGAAAUGCGAUAGUACUCAGCGUCUACGGACAACGAGAUAGUGUGCCUAAGGGCUGUCAAGAAAAGCUUCUAAACUUAGAUUGUAAGUACCCGUACCGUAAACCGACACAGGUAGUCGAGGAGAGUAUCCUAAGGCGCUCGAGAGAUUCAUGGCUAAGGAACUAGGCAAAAUAGACCUGUAACUUCGGGAGAAAGGUCGCCAGCGCAAGCUGGCCGCAGUGAAAAGGUCCAGGCGACUGUUUAUCAAAAACACAGGGCUCUGCAAAAUCGUAAGAUGAAGUAUAGGGCCUGACACCUGCCCGGUGCUGGAAGGUUAAGAGGAGAUGUUAUCGAUGAUUAAUUGUUGAGAAGCAUUGAAUUGAAGCCCC
rnacentral:rRNA from 1 species